AGUUGAUUGAGAGCUUCGGCAGGAAUCGAUUAAUCGAGUGGCGGACGGGUGAGUAACGCGUGAGCAACCUGUCCCAGACAGGGGAUAACACUUGGAAACAGGUGCUAAUACCGCAUAAGACCACGGGAUCACAUGGUUCUGGGGUAAAAGGAGCAAUCCGGUUUGGGGUGGGCUCGCGUCCGAUUAGCCAGUUGGCGGGUAACGGCCCACCAAAGCGACGAUCGGUAGCCGACCUGAGAGGGUGAACGGCCACAUUGGAACUGAGAGACGGUCCAAACUCCUACGGGAGGCAGCAGUGGGGAAUAUUGGGCAAUGGGCGAAAGCCUGAACCCCAGCAACGCCGCGUGAGUGAAGAAGGCCUUCGGGUUGUAAAGCUCUGUUAUAGUUGACGAAGGAAGUGACGGUAGGCUAUAAGGAAGCCCCGGCUAACUACGUGCCAGCAGCGGC
rnacentral:rRNA from 1 species